rnacentral:rRNA from 1 species
GAAGGUCACGGCGAGACGAGCCGUUUAUCAUUACGAUAGGUGUCAAGUGGAAGUGCAGUAAUGUAUGCAGCUGAGGCAUCCUAAGCGACCGAUAGACUUGAAC